AGACCCAGCAACGAUAUCCGGCCGACCCACCCCACUUCUUUUUUCUUCCUCACAGUGAACCCAUCCAUCGCAUGACUAUUGUCGUCUUCCUCCAAUUUGUACGUGAUUUGUAGCAGACCAAUUUGUCCUCGUCCUUGAAGAACCAGGUGUCUCGAUCUUACUCCUUCUUCGUCCUUUGCUCAAAAUUGGACGACCCUCACUUCUCUUCCGUUGGAAUUGGUAAGACUCAUGGUUAUCCAACCUUAUCCUAAGGGUGGGAAUCGAAAUUUCAAAUUCAAAACCCAUUCCAUUUUCCCUCCUCACGUUUAGAUCAUAUCUCCUUCUAUAUAAACCUUCUUUUACCUUCAUUUGGGUUUGGUCUGGGUUUUUUUUUUUGAAAAAAAACAGUGGAAAAAGUUGGAGAAAAUGUUGGGAAAAAGAUUUUUUACUAUGGGAAAGAAUAGAUUAGCUAAGAGAUAUAAGAUAAGAAUCGAAGUCAAUACACGAAACUAUUUUGGAAGUAGGUUCUGCAAUUGUGAAGGUUCAAGGUGACGUUCCUUUGGUUCUGUUUUCUCACGAUCUCGCUAGAGUUCUCGGAACUUACAUUGUGUUUGUGGAAGUUCUGCUAGAGCUCUUUUAGUCUUAAUUCGCUGCCCGUAGAAAGGUCUAAUUUCUCUGGCGUGUUAUCUUGUCUCAAAUCUUCACUCAGUUCUCUUCUUACUCGAGUCACUUGUUCAAGCUAUAAUGGACUGAUGCAGGCAGGGUAGUUUUCAAUUUGCUUAGUGACGAUAAUAUUUGUUUCGAAUCGACUCUAUUUUGGUUGAAUUCCAACCUGUGAUCUAGUUGAGUCCCUCUAUUUCAUGGAAGUUUUGGAAUUAAUUGACAGUUUGUUUAGUGUCGAUAAUAUUUGUUUCGAAUCGACUCUAUUUUGAUCGAAUUUCAACCUGUGAUCUAGUCUAGUCCCUUUAUUGCGUGGAAGUUUUGAAAUUAAUUGACUGUUUACUUUGGUAUAGGAGUAAGAUUGUUCCUUCCUUUAUGUAUGUUUUUUAGCUAUUGUGUUAAAUUUUCUUUGCGGUUAUGCUAGUUUAGGGGCUUGUUCCCAGCAUGUUUUGAAGUGAUGUUGUGAAUCUAUUCUUAAGUCGUAUUCAUGGGUUCAGUUUAGAGAAUUCUCAUUAAUGUGUAUCGGAUGACGUUUUGAAUCAAGUAUCUCAAUCUAAUACUUUUACUUCACUGUUUCAAUAAUUGGUUUACUUUUGGCAAACUCACUUCAUUGUAUUACUUGUUUUUUAAAAAAAAAAAUUAAGCUUCUAUAAUGAUCCAUUUCCUCUAAUUGUUUACUGUUAUAGAUUUUAGACUUAUUUUGCACGUGUAUGGGUUGUUGCCUUUAUUUUAAGUUGAUUGUUGUCCAUGAAGUAAAUGAUUAACAACCUUUUCAAUCUAAAAUGUUUUAAUCUUAUUUUUGCUUCAGGAAAGAAAUUUAAAUUUAUUAGUCGUGUGGUUACAUUAUCUUUCGUGUCUGUUGAGUAGCGUGAUAAGGUCGUGUUUGCUGGAACAUGUUAGAUUCAUUAGUUUUUUGGAAAUUUGUUCAAGCUGGAGUAGUCAAUUUAUAAUCACUUUUGUUAAUCCUACAAUAAGAUGCUAACUCUUGUUUAUGCAUUUUUUAAUGUGAAGUAUACCGAGUUCAUCGAGAACUCCUUCCUUCCUGCAUUUUGAGAAAACCAUAAAGGCUUAGUUUCCUCUUUUUGAGUCAAUCCAUAAAAUUUGAUGGGCAGAUUGUUGAAGUUGAACUAGCAUGAAGAUUGAAGAAAGCCGAAGAAGUUGGAUUAGAAGAUCCAAUUCAGUAUUAUUUUGUAUUUUGUUAUUUUCGGGCUUAAGCCAUUGUCGUUUAUUUUCUGUAUUUAUUUUGUAUUAAUUAUUUCCUUAGUUUAGAACAGGAUGGAAGAAAUGGGUCGAAAAUCCAAAAAGUCAAAUGGAUCAAAAACCCAAAACAGGUGGGUCCAAAAUUCUGGUCAAGGCAAACGGAACACGGAUUUGGAAUCAAAUUUCUCCCCUCUCCUCUUUACUUAUUUUUUUUAUUAUUUGUUGUUUUGUUUGUCGCUAGUUUAAAGCUAGAAGAAUCCGAAUCCCCAAAAAAUGUCACUUUAGUUUUAACGGCU